rnacentral:lncRNA from 1 species
UUUGAUAUUUAUAGCCAAGACAAGACAAAGAAACCUAAAUGGAUGUCUUUUGAGCUUCCCUACGUUUCUCCAUUUAAUUCCCCUUAAAACUUAUUAAAAGUGGCUGUUUUUACAUUGAUGUCACUCAUUUUGUAACUCCCAAGUGACAACUAAUUAUAUGCAUCCUUUUUGUAACUCCAAACUAUGACUAAUUAUGUGCAUCCAUUUUGUAACUCUAAAAGACAACUAAUCACACCAUAACUUAAGAAAAACCUGAUAAAAAUGAAAAUAAAAAGGCUUCAAAUGAAUCUUAUUGGACCUAUGAAUUCAGCCCAAACUUAUUGCACUAAAUUGAUGAUUUUGGAUCCUUUUUGCAAUCCUAAAUCUUGGGUUUGUGUUCGAACGCCCCAAAUGUCUUUAAUUAAGCCCAACAAAGCUUCUUGCAUCCUUUUGGACUUGGAUCUUGUCAUCAGACCUCCUUGAAAGCUUAAAGGAUCAUUUGUAAUUCUUGUCUUUAUUGCAUCAAUAAGGUUGGACUCUUGUUUUCAUGCAUGAGUUGCAUUUCCAUUUUAGACCUUUUGGUGCAUGCCUUUG